rnacentral:rRNA from 1 species
GUUUGAUCCUGGCUCAGGACGAACGCUGGCGGCGUGCUUAAUACAUGCAAGUCGAACGGAGUUAAGGGUUUCGGCCUCUAACUUAGUGGCGAACGGGUGAGUAACGCGUGAAUAACCUGACUCAAAGAGGGGGAUAACAACGGGAAACUGUUGCUAAUACCGCAUGAGACCACAACACCGCAUGAUGAAGGGGUCAAAGAUUUAUCGCUUUGAGAGGGGUUCGCGUCCCAUUAGGUAGUUGGAGGGGUAACGGCCCACCAAGCCAACGAUGGGUAGCCGAGCUGAGAGGCUGAUCGGCCACACUGGAACUGAGACACGGUCCAGACUCCUACGGGAGGCAGCAGUAGGGAAUAUUGGGCAAUGGGCGCAAGCCUGACCCAGCAACGCCGCGUGAGGGAAGAAGGUUUUCGGAUUGUAAACCUCUGUCCUAUGUGACGAAGGAAGUGACGGUAGCAUAGGAGGAAGCCCCGGCUAACUACGUGCCAGCAGCCGCGGUAAUACGUAGGGGGCGAGCGUUGUCCGGAAUUACUGGGCGUAAAGGGUGCGUAGGCGGUUUGGUAAGUUGGAUGUGAAAUACCCGGGCUUAACUUGGGGGCCGCAUCCAAUACUGUCGGA